AUGAACGCUGGCGGCGUGCCUAAUACAUGCAAGUCGAGCGAACAGAUGAGGAGCUUGCUCCUCUGACGUUAGCGGCGGACGGGUGAGUAACACGUGGAUAACCUACCUAUAAGACUGGGAUAACUUCGGGAAACCGGAGCUAAUACCGGAUAAUAUAUUGAACCGCAUGGUUCAAUAGUGAAAGACGGUUUUGCUGUCACUUAUAGAUGGAUCCGCGCCGCAUUAGCUAGUUGGUAAGGUAACGGCUUACCAAGGCAACGAUGCGUAGCCGACCUGAGAGGGUGAUCGGUCACACUGGAACUGAGACACGGUCCAGACUCCUACGGGAGGCAGCAGUAGGGAAUCUUCCGCAAUGGGCGAAAGCUUGACGGAGCAACGCCGCGUGAGUGAUGAAGGUCUUCGGAUCGUAAAACUCUGUUAUUAGGGAAGAACAAAUGUGUAAGUAACUAUGCACGUCUUGACGGUACCUAAUCAGAAAGCCACGGCUAACUACGUG
rnacentral:rRNA from 1 species